AGGAGUUUGUCGACAUUUCAUGUC
rnacentral:siRNA from 1 species